CGGCGCUGCCCGGCCGCGCCUGCUUGCGUCCCCGCGGGCUCGUCAUGUAUGCCGGGGGCUUCUGGGCUCCAGAUCUUAAAUUAAAGUGUAAAAGAAGGGACGGGACGGUGGAAAACAGCAGGUACUCCCUGGCUGUCACACUCAUCUUCAACUCGACUUACUUGCCGCUGCCUUGGGUUUCGCAACGAAAAGUGCCAGGCAAAAAUGGAUAAAGUCUUUGAAUCCACAAUUAGAAUUAACUGUUGAAGAUACAGAGACCCCAAUAGAUCUGGUUGUUAAACAUUUACCAGCACAUC